CACUGCUAGGUUAGAGCACUUAACUCCUGAUAUGAGGCCUCUGCGGCUUUCUUCCCCUUUGCCAGGACAACCAGGAACCUUCCAGAUUGUGGCUGCUCUGUAGUUUGGGUCCUGGAGUCAGGAUGAUUCUGAGCUGUGAUGGAUAUAUAACAUGAGAGAGAAAUAAGCCUGUUAUGUGAAGCCCGAUGGGACAGUGGCAUAUGCACAGGAGCAGAAGAGAUGCGUGGAAUGUGUGUGCCUCCAUUCCUUGCUGCCCCAGUUGCAUGUGGUGUUCAAGAUGUCCCAUGGACGUAGAAUUCUGGUGGCCGCAGGGUGCAUGAGUUCCAGCCCAGCAGCUCAGGACCAGGUCUGGCAGUUUAUAAUUAUUAGAGAAGUUCCGCGUAAGAAGGGUGGACGGCCUCCAAAACAACAGGAAAUGGCUUCAACUCUCUACCUCACUUUGUGUCUAUCUGUGAAUCCAAAAUGCUGCUUUUCUGUGAUCAGCGAGAAGGAAAAAUGUCCUGUGCAUUCAUUCAUGUGGGAGCUGUAUCAUCAGUCACUCUUUCUACCGGCCCUGAAAGGCAGUUCAAACAGCAUCUAUUUAGAUUGGAGACCAAUUAAAUAAUUAUCAAGAGCAUCAGGAAGAUGGCGAGAAUGAGACUCAGAAGAGCACAUGGAGUCUGGCAGGAAAACAGUUGCUGUUCUGAAUUUUUCCCUCUCUCGCCAUUUAUUAAACCAUGUGUUUCCACUGACCUCUGCAUAUCAAACAGGGCCCGGCAGCUCCUUUUGAAUGUACCAAACUCCCUGAGCACAAAGGAGUUUCCUGGGGCUUUGCAGGCUUAGAAGGAGAUGCAUUUUUUUCAGCUAAGCUGCCAGGCCAUUCGGACCUGCGAAAAUGAGCACUUGGUCAGGACUGAAUGAAUCUUGCGUUCUGGUCGCCUGCGCAUGAGGAGUCUGCACCUUUGAACUCUGCCCAGCACAUCCAUUUGGCCAGCCUGAUGUGGCCAUCAUCUCCAGGAUGCUCAGAUAGAGUGGCAGAUUUGGUCCUUGUUUUCCAUGGAUAGAUUUGCUCAAAGAAACAAACCUAGGAAAAUCUGAACAAGCACCUUCUGAAAAUGAACUAACACUGGCCUCCUCCAACUUGUGCACCUGGCUGGGGAUCUUCCUGCGGCUGUCCCUGAGGGCUGGCCAUUAUCUUGCUGCCCCCCCCCCCCCCCCCCCCCCCAGGCAGAAGUAAGGCAGUGUGUAGCCAUCCUGCUACAAACAAGCCGCAUGCAUUCACCAUCGCUGGAGAAACAAAUUGUCAGCAAAUGGCCUAUUCAGAAUGAGUUUGCAACUCAUCAUCUGUCUCAGAAACCAGGAAAUCUCUGAGGUGGCCCAGCACAAAAGGAUGCAAAUGAUGAAGGGUCAACAGCAGAUGCUGAAUAAUGGAGUGAGAACAAAUAGCAUUCAGGGGCUUCGUGUUUUUUGUGUCUCCCACAAAUGGUGCCUCAUUCUUCCCACAUCAUUUUCAUUUUCAACCGUUCCGUUUUCACGUCCAAGAGAAGUGCGAGGGGCAUCUGGAGUGAUUUCCGCUCGAGGUUGGCUGCCCUUGGAUGGCAGUGAGCCUCUGCUCCUUUGCAGAAUAGUGACGUGUCUGCAAAGCGUUGUGAUAGCCAGCCCAUCCUGCCGCAUGUUGCAGAGAUGGAUAUAUUGUCCUGCUGAGUGGAUGUGAUUGCACUGACUUAAAGUUUGCAGAACAAUUUAAAAUCCUAAAUGAAGAAAAGGGGGAGUUACCAGAGUUGUCACUGACCUUGAGCUUGAAGACACACAACUGGAUCUAUGAUUUUUAUUAAAGGAAGACCAUUUUCUGGUGUCAGAAACCAAGGAGAAAACAUGAUACACAUACACACCCACACCCCUCGCCCCUCUGCAUGUGAGGGGGAAGUGAAGUACCGGCGGGGGGGCCUGCCUUGGCUGGGACACAAGAGAGGAGGGAAACUUGAGCAUUGACACAAAACUGCAGAUAUAAUAACAUUGAGGUUAACCUGCCCCUAUGUUGACUGAAUUUUUCUUCUUUUACAUGACAUAAUAAUGACAAAAAUAACAACAUUUAAUGAAGACUGUUCCAAGGACUAUUCUAAGAGCUUCAUAGAAUGAUCUUAUUUGAUCCUCCUAAUUACUGUGAGAGAGAUGCUCUAAUUAUCGGAGCUUGAAUAAAUUGUUCCAGGACACAGAAAUAAGUUUGGAGGAGCUGGGGAAAGGCCCCCAGGAAAAGUUGCUCCAAACCUAGCUUACAACCAGAGGACUUCAGUUAGGACUAAGUAAAGAUGCAUAUUAACAGGAAAACUCAAAAACAAUAAACGUAGGUUUAUUUUAUCUUUCUCUCUGGUAAUAAAAGUCUGGGAAGGGCUGACCUGGUGGCAUAGUGGUUUAGUAUACGUGCCCCACUUUGGAAACCCGGGGUUUGCAGGUUCAGAUCCUGAGUGCAGACAUGGCACCACUCAUCAAGCCAUGCUGUGGUAGCAUCCUACAUACAGAAUACAGGAAGAUUGGCACAGAUGUUAGCUCGGGAUGAGUCUUCCUCAAGCAAAAAGAGGGAGAUUGUCAAUGGAUGUUAGCUCAGGGCCAAUCUUCCUCACCUAAGGAAAAAAAAAAGUCUGGGACUAGCAAAUCCAUGGUUGGUAUAAUAACUUUCUGUCACUGGGGAUUGGUUCCUUACCUUUUUACACCACCAUCCUUACUUUGUGGCCACCUUCCAUCCUUAAGUGUACUUCAUGGUACAAAAAUGUUUUUAGAACCUGGGCCACCAUAUCCAAUUCCAAAAAGCAAAGAGGAGGGAGCGAGAAGGGAAAAAAUGUGCCUGUGCAGCUGUCUGCUCCCUCUUUAAGGAGAGUUCCAGAAGCCCCACUCACUUCUGUUUAUGUCACAUUGCUGUAACUUAGUCAUGUGGCCACACCUAUCUACAAGAGACAGUGGGGCAUACAACUUUCAAGCAGAGUAUAUUGUUGCCUUGAAUACAAUUGAAACUUAAUUUUCAAGGAAGAGAAGAAUGCAUAUUGGUAGGUAACCAGCAGGAUAUACCAGAGGUCCCGGCUGGCAUUAACUGGAGAUGUAGAUACAACAGCCAUACAGAUUUGCCCUCAUCCCUACUGCCCGCUUGCUUGAUCCUCUGAUUAUUGUGAACGCCAAGGAGCUUCCUGGAAUAGUUCACACUCUGUCCAAAACUGAGCUUCAGACAUACACCACCUGGCAUUCCCAAUGGCCUGGGCGGGGCUAGAGGAGAGGAGGUUGGAAGCCUCUCAGAAAAUGGUCAGGCCCCUGAGAGAGA
rnacentral:lncRNA from 1 species